rnacentral:rRNA from 1 species
GACGAACGCUGGCGGCGUGCCUAAUACAUGCAAGUAGAACGCACAGUUUAUACCGUAGCUUGCUACACCAUAAACUGUGAGUUGCGAACGGGUGAGUAACGCGUAGGUAACCUGCCUGGUAGCGGGGGAUAACUAUUGGAAACGAUAGCUAAUACCGCAUAAUAUUAAUUAUUGCAUGAUAAUUGAUUGAAAGAUGCAAUUGCAUCACUACCAGAUGGACCUGCGUUGUAUUAGCUAGUAGGUGAGGUAACGGCUCACCUAGGCGACGAUACAUAGCCGACCUGAGAGGGUGAUCGGCCACACUGGGACUGAGACACGGCCCAGACUCCUACGGGAGGCAGCAGUAGGGAAUCUUCGGCAAUGGACGAGAGUCUGACCGAGCAACGCCGCGUGAGUGAAGAAGGUUUUCGGAUCGUAAAGCUCUGUUGUAAGAGAAGAGCGGGUGUGAGAGUGGAAAGUUCACACUGUGACGGUAUCUUACCAGAAAGGGACGGCUAACUACGUG